GGUUAAGUGACUAAGCGUACACGGUGGAUGCCUUGGCAGUCAGAGGCGAUGAAGGACGUAUUAACUUGCGAUAAGCCCAGAUUAGGCAGUAAAAGCCACUUGAGUCUGGGAUUUCCGAAUGGGGAAACCCACUUGCAUAAGCAAGUAUCAUUAACUGAAUACAUAGGUUAA
rnacentral:rRNA from 1 species